GGGGUGAUAGCUCAGUUGGGAGUAGCGUACGACUGAAGUGAACUUUGGUCAAUUCUAAAAUCGUAAGGUCGCCGGUUCAAUCCCGGCUCGCCCCA
rfam:Ajellomyces capsulatus G186AR genomic scaffold supercont2.2, whole genome shotgun sequence.